CCUACGGGAGGCUGCAGUGAGGAAUAUUGGUCAAUGGGCUUACGCCUGAACCAGCCAAGUCGCGUGAGGGAAGACUGCCCUAUGGGUUGUAAACCUCUUUUGUCAGGGAGCAAUUGGCGCUACGUGUAGCGUUAUCGAGAGUACCUGAAGAAAAAGCAUCGGCUAACUCCGUGCCAGCAGCCGCGGUAAUACGGAGGAUGCGAGCGUUAUCCGGAUUUAUUGGGUUUAAAGGGAGCGUAGAUGGGUUGUUAAGUCAGUUGUGAAAGUUUGCGGCUCAACCGUAAAAUUGCAAUUGAUACUGGCAGUCUUGAGUACAGUUGAGGUAGGCGGAAUUCGUGGUGUAGCGGUGAAAUGCUUAGAUAUCACGAAGAACCCCGAUUGCGAAGGCAGCUUACUAAACUGUGACUGACAUUGAUGCUCGAAAGUGUGGGUAUCAAACAGGAUUAGAUACCCUUGUAGUC
rnacentral:rRNA from 1 species